UACUGCCUACGGGAGGCAGCAGUGAGGAAUAUUGGUCAAUGGGAGAGAUCCUGAACCAGCCAAGCCGCGUGAGGGAAGACGGCCCUAUGGGUUGUAAACCUCUUUUGUCGGAGAACAAAACCCGGGACGUGUCCCGGACUGCGUGUAUCCGAAGAAAAAGCAUCGGCUAACUCCGUGCCAGCAGCCGCGGUAAUACGGAGGAUGCGAGCGUUAUCCGGAUUUAUUGGGUUUAAAGGGUGCGUAGGCGGUCCGUUAAGUCAGCGGUAAAAUUGAGAGGCUCAACCUCUUCGAGCCGUUGAAACUGG
rnacentral:rRNA from 1 species